GGCCCUGUGGCCUAAUGGAGAAGGCGUCGGACUUCGGAUCCGAAGAUUGUAGGUUCGAGUCCUGCCAGGGUCG
rfam:Ascaris suum AG00202, whole genome shotgun sequence.